CGGGGAGAGAGCGGGGAAGGAACGCACAGUGUGGGGUAAAUGACUCUUACUACAAUGGAAGGCAUUUAAGGAGAUUCAGAGGAUUCGAGCCCUGUGAAGAAAAAAGUUUGGAGGACAACUCUCAAUUUCUCAGAUGCCAAAGUGCAUGAAGAAGAAGGCUGGACGCAGAGAGGAUGUUUGAUGGGGAAAGGACCAUGUAUCACAGCUCUAGGUUAUCAGAUAAUGGUGAAAAGGCAUAAAUAUACUCUUAACAUUUGUCACUGGGAAUGAAAGUUUGCUGCAUGCAUACAUAUCCAUUAUCCCAGCUGCUCUGAGAGACCACCUAUGAAGAAGAUCCAAGGAAUAAGCGGGCCCCAGUUGAUAGCUAACAGAAUCAAAAUACGCCACCUCACUCUGAGUGGCCAUCACAUUCACCAAGUCAAAUCCUGUG